rnacentral:ncRNA from 1 species
ACAGUUUUGGUCCUGGGCUUACCGUUGUUUUUAAAUUAAGAUUAUACAUGCAAGCUUCAACACACCAGUGAAAAUGCCCAGGACCCCUAAACAGAAAAACUGGAGCAGGCAUCAGGCACAGUUUUAACCAGCCCAUGACGCCUUGUCAUACCACCCCCCCACGGGUUUAACAGCAGUAAUAAACAUUGGGCGAUAAGUGAAAACUUGACCCAACUAUAAUUUUUAGGGCUGGCUAACUUCGUGCCAGCCGCCGCGGUUAAACGAAGGGCCCAAACCAAUGGCUCAACGGCGUAAAUUGUGGCUAGAAUGCUAAUAAAAUAUAAAAUACAAAACUUAGUUGUAAAAUACUAAAGUCUUGAAGAAUCCCUAAUAUUUUACUUAUUUGACCCCACGAAAGCUUAGAAACAAACUAGGAUUAGAUACCCUACUAUGCUAAGCCCUAAAUAGAGAGCUACCUUACAAUGCCCUCCGCCAAAGAACUACAAGUGAAAAACUUAAAACUCAAAGGACUUGGCGGCGUCCCAAAACGAUCUAGAGGAGCCUGUCCUAUAAUCGAUACCCCCCGUUUCACCCAACCUUAACUAGCCCGCUUCAGCCUAUAUACCGCCGUCGACAGUUUACCCCAUGAGGGCUAAAUAGUAAACACAAAAGUCUUACCACUAAUACGUCAGGUCAAGGUGUAGCAAAUGUUAAGGAAGAGAUUGGCUACAUUUUUUAUUUUAAAAAACACGGAAUGCACAAUGAAACCCUGCAAAAAGGUGAAUUUAGCAGUAAAUUAGAUUAGAGUGUCUAAUUUAACCCCGCUCUGGGACGUGCACACACCGCCCGUCACCCUCCUCAACAACCAACCACACCUAUAUAAUAUCAUAAAGUUAUUUAGAGGAGGUAAGUCGUAACAUGGUAAGCGUACCGGAAGGUGUGCUUGGAUCAAC